CUCUUUUUAACAUUUAAGUUAUUGAUGAACACAACACAAUGCCUUUAUUUUUAUGUGGUGCUGAGGAUUGAACCCAGGUCCCGCCUGUGCUAGGCGAGCGCUCUACCGCUGAGCCACAACCCCAGCCCCAGUUGGGGUUCUUCUAUAUAUUUUGGCUAUUAACCCCUUAUCAGAUGUAUGGUUUGCAAAUAUUUUCUCCAAUUUCUGGACUGGGGAUGUGCCACAAUGGUAGAGCACAUACUUAGCAUGUGUGAAAAGCCUCACACCAAAAAAAGAAAGAAAAAUGACUCAUUCCAUAGGGGCCUUUUCACUCUCUGGAUGGUUUCCUCUGCUGUGCAGAAGUUUUUUAGUUUGUUCCAAUCCUUGUCCAUUCUUGCCUCUGCUUUGAGGGUUAUGUCUGAGAAAUCAUUGCCAAUGCCGGAGUUCUAAGGCCUUUCCAAGUUUACUUCUAGGAGUUUUAUAUUUAUAAGUCUUAUAUUUAGGUCUUUAAUCCAUUUUACUUAGUUUUUGUGUAUGGUGAAAGAUAAAAGUCCAACAUGAUUCUUUUGCAUAUAAACAUCCUGUUUUCCCAGCACCAUUUGUCUUUUCCCCAUUGGAUAGUCCUGACACUUUUGUCAACAAUCAUUUGACUGUAGACUUGUGGGUUUAUUUGGGGGCUCUCUGUUCUGUUCUUUUAACAUAGAUGUCUUGUCUUUAUGACAGUACCAUACUAUUCUGCAUUGUUAAUAUGUUUUGGUCUGAAAGUAUAAGUCCUGCAGUAUGCUCUGCUCUUCUCCUUCCUGGAAGCUGUAACAGAAAUUGGGGCGUUCUUGCCCAGCACUGAGCUGCACUGGCUUGGAGAAGGGACAUAUUUGUUAAGAUUAAAAGAACACCAACUUCAUAGGUUGUUAUGAGAAUUGGGAAAGAUUCCAUCCAUGAAUGACAAGGACACAUUCUGGAAAAUACAUCAUUAGAGUAUUUCCUCAUGGUACAAACAUCAUGGAGCAUACUUACACAAACCCAGAUGAUGUGACUUACUACACACCUAGGCUUUAUGAGUAACCUAUGUGUAUCCCAGGCUACAGAUUUGUACAGUAUGUUACCGUACUUCAUAUUGUAGGCAGUCAUAAUGCAAUGGUAAAUAUUUGUGUACCUAAUCAUAGAAAAGAUAUGGUAAACUACUAGAUGACCAGAACUUUUCAGCUCCGCUAUAAUCUUAAGGAACCAUCAUUUUAUGUGUAUUCUACCAUCGGUCAAAACAUCCUUAUGCAGUGCAUGACUCUAAAAAUAUUUAAAACAGUGCUUAGAAUAUAGUAAGUUCUCAAUUGUUAUUAUUAUUUAGAAAAGAGCAAUUGUGAUGAAAUUGCUUUUUCUUUUUUUCUUUUUGCCGUAUUGGGGAUGGAAUCCAGGACUUCAUUCAUUCUAGGCAAGCAUUCUACCACUGAGCCAUAUCCCCAGCCUGUUUUAUUUUAUACAAGCCGGUCUUGAACUUUCAGUCCUGCUUCAGCCUCCUGAGUAGUUAUGCUUACAGGUUUGUUCCACCAUGGCCAGCAAUGAAAUUGCUCUUCUUUUAAAAACAAACAAACAAACAAACAAACAAAAAAUAUAUAUAUAUAUGGAGAGAGAGAGAGAGAGAGAGAGAGUGUGUGUGUGUGUGUGUGUGUGUGUGUGAAUGUUGUUAAUGGACCUUUAUUUAUUUAUUUGUAUUCCAUGCUGAGAAUUGAACCCAGUGCCUCAUGCAUGCUAGGCAAUAACUCUACCACUGAGCUAAAACCCCAGCCCACAGUUGCUCUUUUUAUAUACAUACUUAGUCAUAGUUGGACACAAUAACUUUAUUUAAUUUAUUUAUUUUUAUAUAGUGUUGAGGAUCAAAUCCAGUGCCUUGUAUGUGCUAGGCAAGCACUCUACCACUGAGUCAC
rnacentral:lncRNA from 1 species